rnacentral:rRNA from 1 species
GACGUAGGGUGCGAGCGUUGUCCGGAUUUAUUGGGCGUAAAGAGCUCGUAGGCGGCUUGUCGCGUCGACUGUGAAAACCCGCGGCUCAACCGCGGGCCUGCAGCCGAUACGGGCAGGCUAGAGUUCGGUAGGGGAGACUGGAAUUCCUGGUGUAGCGGUGAAAUGCGUAGAUAUCAGGAGGAACACCGAUGGCGAAGGCAGGUCUCUGGGCUGAUACUGACGCUCAUGCACGAAAGCGUGGGGAGCAAACAGG